GCCCCCAUUGUCUAAUGGUUAUGACGUCAGACUUCUAUCGAGCGUUUAGAUAAUCAAUCUGGAGGUUGCGGGUUCGAGUCCCGCUGGGGGUU